rnacentral:lncRNA from 1 species
GUAACACUCUGGGAGGGCUCAGGCCACAUCACGAAAUGUGACAGGAUAGCCUUGAACUCAUCAAUUGCUGGGUAAGAAAGAAUUUUAAUGCAAUGGCAAACAACCAAUCAAACAAGCAAACAAAAACAAUAAACCCUUCCUUGAGGACCAAGAAGACAUUGAUUAGCUAACCUAAGAGCUCCAGGUGGAGACCUAGGUCCUGAUUGGGUUUCUGAAUUUGACCACUAGGCAGAAAACUAGCACCCAAAACCAGUUGGAAUAAAAUUACCCACCUACAGUGGAGCCAAGGCCCCCAGAUCCUUUUUGUCAGGGGCACCUCAAACUCAACUCCAAAAUUGAUCUAAUGAACUUUCCCAAACCACAUUCCCUUCUUGCAUUUCUGAGAGAAUGGAUUCCCAUUCAUCUGACUACAGUGCUACCCUGAAAGCAGAUCCAGAGACUAAGAUUCACCUGCAGGUGAUUCAUUUGCAAGGUAAGCUGUCAUCAGUUGGAGGUAAGCGGAAGACAGUAGAGAGUACAGAGCCCUGGACUGUGACUCAGAGGAUGAGCACCAGAUCCAGUUUGCUGUGCCACAGUGUCCUGAAGAUUUUCCUCAGAUAAUCUUUCAUCUCUUUGUUCCUGAGACUAUAUAUUAGAGGAUUACAGAGUGGUGUUAUCACAGAAAAGAACAAGUGGAUUUUUAUCUGAGAUCUACAACUUAUGAAGAAUACAAAUGAUGUAUAUUCUUUUCUACUCUUCAUGUAUGGACUAGAGGGGCUUGCACAUAAGAAAAAAAUGGCUGAGACCCACAGGAACAAAGAAACAGGACAGGAGUUAGAUGCAGAGAAGAGAUUUCAACAAAAGUUUGGAAAAGAUGCUAACGGUAGCAUAUGAGUCACAGACAGAACAUUGGCACCUUUGUUUAAGAAACUGAAUGUUAAUGUCACAUCUGCCUUUGGAGAUUACAAAUGAAAUGGCUACCUUUCUACUGGAACCCUGACCAGAAGUCUGCCAGUUAGUAAGCUGGCUUAAGAGAUCAAUCUAAAAUUUACAUAAGGCUUUUGAAAAAAAGAAAAAAGAACCCAAAGGCACAGAUUGACGUUAUAAGUCCUGAUUUUUGACUUGACUUCUCAUCACCUGGAAGUGAAUAAAGCAGUAGACUUCUCUAACAUUUUGUAACACAGCAUGAAAAAAUAUAGAGUACAAAAGAUAUAUAUAUAUAAUAUGAUAAAAUGAUGAGUUACGUUUCUAAAUCUUUUAUCAUCUUACUGUCAUUUCUCUAUAUUUGGUCUAGCCAGACUUCUAUUCAUUUUGUCACUUAUCUUUCAUCAAACUAGGGCUGAUGCUCUUGGGAAAGGGACCACUGAUUUGAUAUGCUCUUCAAACACCAGCACACUGUACUAUAUAGAAAGAUAUUCACUGAAAAUACUGAAGCUAGUAAUACAAAGGAAAAAGGCAUAAAAAU